rnacentral:rRNA from 1 species
UACGUAGGGGGGCUAGCGUUGUCCGGAAUCAUUGGGCGUAAAGCGCGUGUAGGCGGUCCGGUAAGUCCGCUGUGAAAGUCGGGGGGCUCAACCCCUCGAAAGCCGGUGGAUACUGUCGGGCUAGAGUGCGGAAGAGGCGAGUGGAAUUCCUGGUGUAGCGGUGAAAUGCGCAGAUAUCAGGAGGAACACCGAUGGCGAAGGCAGCUCGCUGGGACGGUACUGACGCUGAGACGCGAAAGCGUGGGGAGCAAACAGG